rnacentral:rRNA from 1 species
UGGGGAAUUUUGGACAAUGGGCGAAAGCCUGAUCCAGCAAUGCCGCGUGUGUGAAGAAGGCCUUCGGGUUGUAAAGCACUUUUGUCCGGAAAGAAAUGGCUCUGGUUAAUACCUGGGGUCGAUGACGGUACCGGAAGAAUAAGGACCGGCUAACUACGUGCCAGCAGCCGCGGUAAUACGUAGGGUCCAAGCGUUAAUCGGAAUUACUGGGCGUAAAGCGUGCGCAGGCGGUUGUGCAAGACCGAUGUGAAAUCCCCGAGCUUAACUUGGGAAUUGCAUUGGUGACUGCACGGCUAGAGUGUGUCAGAGGGGGGUAGAAUUCCACGUGUAGCAGUGAAAUGCGUAGAGAUGUGGAGGAAUACCGAUGGCGAAGGCAGCCCCCUGGGGAAUAACACUGACGCUCAUGCACGAAAGCGUGGGGAGCAAACAGGAUUAGAUACCCUGGUAGUCCACGCCCUAAACGAUGUCAACUAGUUGUUGGGGAUUCAUUCCUUAGUAACGUAGCUAACGCGUGAAGUUGNCCGCCUGGGGAGUACGGUCGCAAGAUUAAAAGCUCAAAUG